rnacentral:rRNA from 1 species
UACAGAGGUCUCAAGCGUUGUUCGGAUUCAUUGGGCGUAAAGGGUGUGUAGGUGGCGCCGUAAGUCGGGUGUGAAAUUUCGGAGCUUAACUCCGAAACUGCAUUCGAUAACUGCGGUGCUUGGAGGACUGGAGAGGAGACUGGAAUUUACGGUGUAGCGGUGAAAAUGCGUAGAUAUCGUAAGGAAGACCAGUGGCGAAGGCGAACUACUCUGGGCAAAUACUGACACUGAGACACGGAAAGCAUGGGGAGCAAAACAGG